AUUGAACGCUGGCGGCAGGCCUAACACAUGCAAGUCGAACGAGUGGCGGCCGGGUGAGUAAUGUCUGGGAAACUGCCCGAUGGAGGGGGAUAACUACUGGAAACGGUAGCUAAUACCGCAUACCAUCGGAUGUGCCCAGAUGGUAUUAGCUAGUAGGUGGGGUAACGGCUAACCUGGGCGACGAUCCCUAGCUGGUCUGAGAGGAUGACCAGCAACACGGGAACUGAAACACGGGCCAGAAGCCUACGGGAGGAAGCAGGGGGGAAUAGUGCACAAGGGGCGCAAGCCGGAUGCAGCCAUGCCGCGUGUAUGAAGAAGGCCUUCGGGUUGUAAAGUACUUUCAGCGAGGAGGCGUUACUCGCAGAAGAAGCACCGGCUAACUCCGUGCCAGCAGCGGCGGUAAUAC
rnacentral:rRNA from 1 species